rnacentral:rRNA from 1 species
CCUACGGGAGGCAGCAGUCGGGAAUUUUGGGCAAUGGGCGAAAGCCUGACCCAGCAACGCCGCGUGGAGGAUGAAGUUUCUCGGAAUGUAAACUCCGUAAGAAUGGGACGAAUAAGGAGGGGUCAAUACCCCCUCCGAUGACGGUACCAUUCGUAAGCUCCGGCUAACUCCGUGCCAGCAGCCGCGGUAAUACGGGGGGAGCAAGCGUUGUUCGGAUUUACUGGGCGUAAAGGGCGCGUAGGCGGCGCAACAAGUCACUUGUGAAAUCUCCGGGCUUAACCCGGAGCGGCCAAGUGAUACUGUCGUGCUAGAGUGCGGAAGGGGCUACUGGAAUUCUCGGUGUAGCGGUGAAAUGCGUAGAUAUCGAGAGGAACACCUGUGGCGAAGGCGGGUAGCUGGGCCGACACUGACGCUGAGGCGCGAAAGCUAGGGGAGCGAAC